AAGCCCUACCUAAUUAUACUAAUAUGUAUUCGUUUUUCGUAUAGAUAUAGAGAUCUGUAGACGAGAAUAAUAUUUAUAACAAAUAUCGUAUACAUGACGCAUUGCAUAUGGCAGUUUUGGCCGUCAAAUAGAUCGAUCCGCUAUCAUAUCGUUUUCUGUGCACGAUAAAAGUCUAUUCGAUUUCUGGGACCUCCGAAGAGAAUGCGAUGUAGCAAAUCUGCAGUUUCGGUUUGGUCAGUUAUUGGAAAGCAGAUCAGAGGAGAAAAUAGACGAUGAUCGUGAGACGCGUGUGAGUACCGGCGUUCUCACGCGCCGCCACGUGCCUCGUAACACACCCUUCAAUCUUCAAUCUUCCUCCCUUACCCUCGAUAUCGCCCUUUCCACGCGUGCUUGCUUCUCUUUCUCUCUCUCUCUCUCUUUCUCUGAUUACCUAUCGGUCUUCGAAGUUUCACACUCAACGAAAUCGUUCAAAUGAUUGCACACUUUCCAAUCGGGGAAACAAUUACCGUGUACGUUCGUACAACGAUGACGCAACGUGAUCAGCCGCGUGCCGGCGCGUGGCGUAAAUGCGUCGAAUAAGUACGUACGAGCCCUUUUACCUUAUACUUUUCAAUCCUCCCCGCUGGGCCGUACUAUAGGCGCAUAUAUUCAAACAAAAUAAUAGUAUAUAAGGCCCGCUAAUUGCGACGAACGUUCCAUUAGAAAUUAAGCCUGAAAAAGAUGGAUUGAAUCCGAUUCCUGUUUUAAUUAACGCACAACCGCUGAUUGUCGAGUCUUGUAGCCGAUGCCCGUGAAAGGAUAUCGCGAUUACGUUAUAAUAGAUCGAGAAUUCGUCCAUCGGAGUAACUAGCAGUCAAAAUUUGAGCAGACAUUUUGAGAUAAAUUUACCAAUUAUAAGGAGUGAAUAUAAAAAGCUUUGGGCAUAAUUAUUAUCUACUGACUAUAAAAACGCUGCUGCACGUAUGAAUCUUCUUAAUUGAAUGUACCCACAAUUUUUUACCCACCUCGUAUCCACCGCAUUCCGUGUUAAAACUGUAAGUAGAAAGAGUUUAGCUGUUUACUUGAAUAUUGCAAAAAUUAUAUUUCAAUAUCCAGUCUUCAGGGUCGAAUUAUUAUACAAAUUAUCUUCAAAAGGAUCCAGGGAUCUGGGUUUUUUCAAUGAGUUACGAAGUCAAGUAUGAAUGCCAUAAUUAAAAUUUAUUACACGCGUAUUUGAUGUUAUAUACUGCUCAUGAUUAAAUAUACCAAUCAUUAUCUGACUGUAAGUUGCAGAUGCAAUAUUUAAUUGCCAUUUUGGCACAAGUUUUGUGGGAGCUCUACUGAAGUGCUCCAUGUGUGGGCUCGAGAUUGUUAUCACGGCAUUGACUAAUCUCUUGGUACCUACCGACCGAUCAAUUUUGUAAGACGAAGAAGAGUUAUCAUUUUACUAUGCCUGUCUCUACACCAUUUCCCACUUAUGGGAUAUAGACUUACGGUUCCCUCCAGGGUAUGCUCCAAAGUAUAGGUAGCUAUACACAAUAUUGUAGGGGUGUUAAUCCUGGAGUUUCGAACGCGUGGGAAUCGCCUCCGCUUAGACCUCUCACAUGCAAGCACCACGCGCCAGAAAUGGAGGAGGGGAUAACCGUUCGUCGUUUCGUAUUCCAUAAUCGAAAGUAGACCUGUACCAAAAACGGGAGUGGAGGAAGGGGAAUUACUAGACCCGAAGGAAAUAGGUAACAUUUUUUCUGAU
rnacentral:lncRNA from 1 species